rnacentral:rRNA from 1 species
UUUAUGGAGAGUUUGAUCCUGGCUCAGAGUGAACGCUGGCGGCGUGCCUAAUACAUGCAAGUCGAACGAUGAAGCUUCUAGCUUGCUAGAAUGCUGAUUAGUGGCGYACGGGUGAGUAACGCAUAGGUCAUGUGCCUCUUAGUUUGGGAUAGCCAUUGGAAACGAUGAUUAAUACCAGAUACUCCCUACGGGGGAAAGAUUUAUCGCUAAGAGAUCAGCCUAUGUCCUAUCAGCUUGUUGGUAAGGUAAUGGCUUACCAAGGCUAUGACGGGUAUCCGGCCUGAGAGGGUGAACGGACACACUGGAACUGAGACACGGUCCAGACUCCUACGGGAGGCAGCAGUAGGGAAUAUUGCUCAAUGGGGGAAACCCUGAAGCAGCAACGCCGCGUGGAGGAUGAAGGUUUUAGGAUUGUAAACUCCUUUUGUUAGAGAAGAUAAUGACGGUAUCUAACGAAUAAGCACCGGCUAACUCCGUGCCAGCAGCCGCGGUAAUACGGAGGGUGCAAGCGUUACUCGGAAUCACUGGGCGUAAAGAGCGCGUAGGCGGGAUAGUCAGUCAGGUGUGAAAUCCUAUGGCUUAACCAUAGAACUGCAUUUGAAACUACUAUUCUAGAGUGUGGGAGAGGUAGGUGGAAUUCUUGGUGUAGGGGUAAAAUCCGUAGAGAUCAAGAGGAAUACUCAUUGCGAAGGCGACCUGCUGGAACAUUACUGACGCUGAUUGCGCGAAAGCGUGGGGAGCAAACAGGAUUAGAUACCCUGGUAGUCCACGCCCUAAACGAUGGAUGCUAGUUGUUGGAGGGCUUAGUCUCUCCAGUAAUGCAGCUAACGCAUUAAGCAUCCCGCCUGGGGAGUACGGUCGCAAGAUUAAAACUCAAAGGAAUAGACGGGGACCCGCACAAGCGGUGGAGCAUGUGGUUUAAUUCGAAGAUACACGAAGAACCUUACCUAGGCUUGACAUUGAGAGAAUCCGCUAGAAAUAGUGGAGUGUCUGGCUUGCUAGACCUUGAAAACAGGUGCUGCACGGCUGUCGUCAGCUCGUGUCGUGAGAUGUUGGGUUAAGUCCCGCAACGAGCGCAACCCCCUUUCUUAGUUGCUAACAGGUUAUGCUGAGAACUCUAAGGAUACUGCCUCCGUAAGGAGGAGGAAGGUGGGGACGACGUCAAGUCAUCAUGGCCCUUACGCCUAGGGCUACACACGUGCUACAAUGGGGUGUACAAAGAGAAGCAAUACUGCGAAGUGGAGCCAAUCUUCAAAACGCCUCUCAGUUCGGAUUGUAGGCUGCAACUCGCCUGCAUGAAGCUGGAAUCGCUAGUAAUCGCAAAUCAGCCAUGUUGCGGUGAAUACGUUCCCGGGUCUUGUACUCACCGCCCGUCACACCAUGGGAGUUGUGUUUGCCUUAAGUCAGGAUGCUAAACUAGCUACUGCCCACGGCACACACAGCGACUGGGGUGAAGUCGUAACAAGGUAACCGUAGGUGAACCUGCGGUUGGAUCACCUCCUUUCUAGA